rnacentral:rRNA from 1 species
CUACGGGCGGCAGCAGUGGGGAAUCUUGGACAAUGGGCGCAAGCCUGAUCCAGCCAUGCCGCGUGAUUGAUGAAGGCCUUAGGGUUGUAAAAAUCUUUCACCAGGGAUGAUAAUGACAGUACCUGGAGAAGAAGCUCCGGCUAACUUCGUGCCAGCAGCCGCGGUAAUACGAAGGGGGCUAGCGUUGUUCGGAAUUACUGGGCGUAAAGCGCACGUAGGCGGACUGGAAAGUUGGAGGUGAAAUCCCGGAGCUCAACUUCGGAACUGCCGUCAAAACUCUCAGUCUAGAGUUCAGGAGAGGCGAGUGGAAUACCGAGUGUAGAGGUGAAAUUCGUAGAUAUUCGGUGGAACACCAGUGGCGAAGGCGACUCGCUGGACUGAUACUGACGCUGAGGUGCGAAAGUGUGGGGAGCAAACAGGAUUAGAUACCCCCGUAGUC